rnacentral:lncRNA from 1 species
UCCCAAGUGCUAGGAUUAAAGGCCCGGCAUCACUUGGUUUUUAUGUAUGCCAGCCAGUGACAUGGUUAUGUUCUGGAAAGAAACUGAAGGCACUGUUACUGGUCUGACAGUCACUGUGAUCUGUGAUCAAGACUAGUCAUGACCACAAAUAUCCUUAUUAAACCAGCUUUUAAACAUUUUUCUUUAAUCCCAGCACUUGGGAGGCAGAGACAGGCCGUUCUCUGUGAGUUCCAGACCAUCUUGGUCUACAGAGUGAGUUCCAGGAUAGCCAAGGCUACAAAGAGAGACAUUACCUUUAAAAACUAAAAAAAAAAAAAAAAAAAGUUUUUAUAUGGUGCGGGUAUUUGGCUGCAUAUAGUCUCUGUACCAUGCAUGUGCCUAGUACUCAGGGUGGGAAUUGGAUGGAUCCCCUGGGACCAGAGUCACAGAUGGCUGAGAGCCAUCGUGUGGAUGCUGGGGCCACUGAGCCAUCUCUCCAGCCGCCAACUUCUUCUUUCAGGCGAUGCUAGGGUCUAGCAGGCGAUGCUAGGGUCUAGCCCAGGGCCUUGCACAUGCUAGGCAAGCUUUUUACCGCUGAGCUGGAGUUAGAGCCCGGACCGUGAAUGUUCGUGCUAGCUUCCUGCUGGGGCUACUUGGCACCCUGUGGUGACAGUUGUACCAGCCCUGCCUCUCUGAGGCCAUACACUCCCUGGUAAGGUGCUUGUUCUUCCGCAGGUCUCCAUCGCACCUCGGACAAACGCUGCUUUGGGCUUCUCUCAGAUGCUCCCUCGGGACCAGUACCUCUUCACCAAGGAGCAGCUGUUUGAGCGCAUGUGCAUGGCCCUAGGUGGCCGUGCAGCUGAAGCCAUCUCAUUCAGCAGGGUCACCUCUGGUGAGCAAAUAGCCCUUGGGUAGGACUGUCAGUAGGCACUGCCAUGCCUGUCUCUUGGUGUUCAGUGCACUUGGCAGGGUGAGGCUGGUGGAAGGUAUUAAAAUGUCAUGUAUUGGGCUGUAAUGUGAUUGGUUAAUUACUGGUCAUGGCUAUGGCUACAUCAAACUGGAUGUUAGAGCAGUCACUGGAUAUCCAGAAAGGUCAUGGUGGGUCUCAGGACACUGUGCCUGAAGAGUGACAGGCUUAAAACC